rnacentral:lncRNA from 1 species
CAGUGUUAGAGGUGAAACCCACGCAGAGCCAUGAGAAUGACAGACAAAUGAUUUGCUGUUGCAUUGCACAGCCAUCUUAAACCCUGAUGUCAUAAAACUCAGUCUCCUGAAGAGAAAACCUGCGGGAUUCUUAGACAUAGGAAGGUCCACACAGGCUUCAACAGAGGAGUGUGGACACGAUGAAUGAUUCCUAGAGUGGUACAUUGUGGGUGAGUGACACUUCCCUACAAGGAUCUUGCUAAGACCAGUGGCAGACACCAUUUUUGACAAUAUUUUCUCAUAGUUUGGUAUGCAGCGAGAAUGCUCCUUUGAUAAAUUGCUUAUGUAAGUCACUCUCUUUAUUAGUCAAGUAAUCUGAAAUAUAAAUUAUAAGCUUUUCAAGUAUUUGUUUUUUCACAUCUAGAAACUAAUGACUUUGGUUACUCUGGAGACUAUUAUGGCAGAUUUUUCUGCAAAUGACUAUUUAAAUGAGUUUUCAGUAUGGGAAAAAUAUGUCACUUGUAAGUAAUGUAUUCUGAUUAUUUUCUAAUGUUGAUAGUCAUUAAUAAAAAUCAUUUUCAGCCAUUUAGGUCAUAUUAAACUGUUAAAUUCAUUAUUAUUUAAUUAUAUUAAAUUUGUGUGACUCAAAAAUAACCAGGGGAUCUGAAUUCAAAAAAGAUAAUAUAAAAACAACAAGUAACUCGUGUGUUUUCUGUCUACCUGUGGCAAUCAUUGCUAAUUAGGAGAGUUAGAAAAUCAGAUGCUCACUAACCUUGUGUGCUAGGGAACCUAUCUCAACUUUCCUCUUUAUAAAAUUGAACCUAUUAAGAUGUGACUAAUCUAUAUCACAAGAUUUCUUUUGGUGCUAAGCAG